rnacentral:rRNA from 1 species
GAUGAACGCUGGCGGCGUGCUUAACACAUGCAAGUCGAACGAACCUUCGGGUUAGUGGCGGACGGGUGAGUAACGCGUGAGAAUCUGCCCUCAGGAGGGGGAUAACGGCUGGAAACGGCCGCUAAUACCCCAUAUGCCGAGAGGUGAAAUGAAUUUCGCCUGAGGAUGAGCUCGCGUCUGAUUAGCUUGUUGGUGGGGUAAUGGCCUACCAAGGCAACGAUCAGUAGCUGGUCUGAGAGGAUGAUCAGCCACACUGGGACUGAGACACGGCCCAGACUCCUACGGGAGGCAGCAGUGGGGAAUUUUCCGCAAUGGGCGAAAGCCUGACGGAGCAACGCCGCGUGAGGGAUGAAGGCCUCUGGGCUGUAAACCUCUUUUAUCAAGGAAGAAGAUCUGACGGUACUUGAUGAAUAAGCCACGGCUAAUUCCGUG